rnacentral:rRNA from 1 species
ACUCCUACGGGAGGCAGCAGUGGGGAAUUUUGGACAAUGGGCGAAAGCCUGAUCCAGCAAUGCCGCGUGAGUGAAGAAGGCCUUCGGGUUGUAAAGCUCUUUUGUCAGGGAAGAAACGGUGAGAGCUAAUAUCUCUUGCUAAUGACGGUACCUGAAGAAUAAGCACCGGCUAACUACGUGCCAGCAGCCGCGGUAAUACGUAGGGUGCAAGCGUUAAUCGGAAUUACUGGGCGUAAAGCGUGCGCAGGCGGUUUUGUAAGUCUGAUGUGAAAUCCCCGGGCUCAACCUGGGAAUUGCAUUGGAGACUGCAAGGCUAGAAUCUGGCAGAGGGGGGUAGAAUUCCACGUGUAGCAGUGAAAUGCGUAGAUAUGUGGAGGAACACCGAUGGCGAAGGCAGCCCCCUGGGUCAAGAUUGACGCUCAUGCACGAAAGCGUGGGGAGCAAACAGGAUUAGAAACCCCUGUAGUCCC